AACAAGAGAUCACCUGCAGAUUGGAGACUGAAGAAGCUGGUGGUGUAUUUCAGAAGCCUGAGAGGCAGAGGUGAAUGGUGUAGAUUUCAGUUUUAGUUCGAAAGCCUGAAAACCGGGAAUGCUAAGGGCAGAAGAAGGAAUGUUCCAGCUCAAGCAGUCAAGCAGAAGAAAGAACUUCAAACCUACAAAGGAAGAAAUAGAAUGAGACAAGAUGAGAAGCAGCAAGGACUUACGGCACAGAGAAGUUAAGGAGUUUGGCUGAGGCCCACCCAACAGGCUCAAAAGUGAUAGAAUUGGAAGCCAGAUGCAGAUCUAUCUAUCCCUCGAGUUCAUCCUCAUUCAGAAUAUUGCCACAGAGCAUUUAUUUUCCUCCAUGGAUCAUAUCUUAAAGGACUAGUGUACCUUAGACCCACUGCUGCAAAGCAAAUUAACUUUUCCCUGAAAUGCAUUCUCUUCAUUCUUGUACUUUCGAAGUCCAGGGCUUCUCUAAAAAGAAAUUCAAGCUUUCAGAUGAAAAGAGCAGCAGUAAAAAGCAGGGUCAUAUCGACAAAUCACAUCAACAAUUCUUUUAUUGAACAAACAUUAAGUGACUUACUUAUGCCAGACCAUGUGCUAGGCACUGGGAAUAUAAAGAUAAAUAAGAUAGACUGAGUUAGUGCACUUAAUAACCUCUAGUGAAAGAGAUAGACACGUAACAAGUAAUGACAAAGAGCUACAGGCAUGAAGAAAUACAGUGUGCUCAGGGUGCCUGGAAGACUAGAGAGCAUUCACUGGGAAGUAGGCAGGGACUGGUGGUGAGGUUUAUCUUUUAUGAUAUGGGAGGCAGUUAAAGGGUUUUUAGCCUUUAAAUGGCAUGAUCACAUAU